GAUGAAGAACGUAGCGAAAUGCGAUACGUAAUGUGAAUUGCAGAAUUCAGUGAAUCAUCGAGUCUUUGAACGCACAUUGCGCCCCCUGGUAUUCCGGGGGGCAUGCCUGUCCGAGCGUCAUUGCUGCCCUCAAGCACGGCUUGUGUGUUGGGCCUCCGUCCUCCUCCCGGGGGACGGGCCCGAAAGGCAGCGGCGGCACCGCGUCCGGUCCUCGAGCGUAUGGGGCUUCGUCACCCGCUCUUGUAGGCCCGGCCGGCGCUUGCCGACACAUCAAUCUUUUUUCCAGGUUGACCUCGGAUCAGGUAGGGAUACCCGCUGAACUUAAGCAUAUCAAAAGCGGAGGA
rnacentral:misc_RNA from 1 species